AACUUUGCUUAGAUUUUACUGAGGGCCGUUGCCUAUAGAGCCGAGAGCGUAGCUACUUCUUGCAUCGCUUUACGCUAUGAACCACACUUAACGUCUUAGGGCACUUGGUAGCUCAGAAACUUGCGUUCAACGCGGGGUUCGGAAACCCGGCUCCCGUGC
rnacentral:rRNA from 1 species